GACGAACGCUGGCGGCGUGCUUAACACAUGCAAGUCGAACGGAAAGGCCCUGCUUUUGUGGGGUGCUCGAGUGGCGAACGGGUGAGUAACACGUGAGUAACCUGCCCUUGACUUUGGGAUAACUUCAGGAAACUGGGGCUAAUACCGGAUAGGAGCUCCUGCUGCAUGGUGGGGGUUGGAAAGUUUCGGCGGUUGGGGAUGGACUCGCGGCUUAUCAGCUUGUUGGUGGGGUAGUGGCUUACCAAGGCUUUGACGGGUAGCCGGCCUGAGAGGGUGACCGGCCACAUGGCGACUGAGAUACGGCCCAGACUCCUACGGGAGGCAGCAGUGGGGAAUAUUGCACAAUGGGCGGAAGCCUGAUGCAGCAACGCCGCGUGCGGGAUGACGGCCUUCGGGUUGUAAACCGCUUUCGCCUGUGACGAAGCGUGAGUGACGGUAAUGGGUAAAGAAGCACCGGCUAACUACGUG
rnacentral:rRNA from 1 species